rnacentral:rRNA from 1 species
GACGAAGGGGGCAAGCGUUGUUCGGAAUUACUGGGCGUAAAGGGCGCGUAGGCGGUUCUUUAAGUCAGGCGUGAAAGCCCUGGGCUCAACCUGGGAGUGGCGCUUGAUACUGGAGGACUAGAGAGUGGGAGAGGUUGGUGGAAUUCCCAGUGUAGAGGUGAAAUUCGUAGAUAUUCGCAAGAACACCAGUGGCGAAGGCGGCUCACUGGCCCGAUACUGACGCUGAGGCACGAAAGCGUGGGGAGCAAACAGG